AGCACCGCGCCUUCCUGAGUCGCGCUUUCCGGACGCGGUCUCAAAUUUGGGAGGUUGGGACCUGGAGCGAAACCCCAAACCCUCCCUGCGCGCUAGUCGCGACCUUAGCAUAUUCUAAUUCCAUUCUGCCUUUUACAGAGGAGGGGAGGAAGGCCAUCCCAAGCCUCCUGGAGGCUUUACCUAGUGAAGAAGACGAGCAGCCACUGCAGCGCGGUGGAGAGAGUAUCCUGGCUGGCACCGAAGAUGUCUGUGACGGUGGCCGGCACGUACUCUUCGUCCAGCCGCGCGCCGCCGUCGCCAGAGCCCGCGGCAGCUUCCUUUCCUGCCGAGAGCAUGAAGGCGUCCAUCAUGUCGCGGGGAGCGGCCCCGGGCCGAAGGCUUUCACGGUGCCUCAGGAACUUGUCUAGGACGAAGCUGCUGAAGUUGCGAUUGAGCGUCUCGAAUUCACGGAAGGCAGUGCGCACAGGGUUGGGGAAGCGCUGCAGCCAGGGCAGCACGUCCACCAGGCUGCCCGCGCCCACCGUGCGCCCGAACUCCUCGUUGUGGCUGAGCAGCUCUCGGAACUCGGCGUCGUCGUGGCUGUAGCGGCAGCCGAAGCACACGGCGCUCAUGACGUUGGCCACGGCCACCACGGUCAGCGGCCGCGGGUCGAGAAAGGCGCCGCCCGCGCUGCCGCGCACCAGCAGCUCCACCAACUCCCGCGCCUCGCCCAGCACAUGGCCCUCGAGCACCCGGCGGCCGCGCGGCUGGCGCGUGGAGAAGGCUCGCAUCGUGCUGUACGCCGCGCGCCGCUGCGCCUUCCAGCUCUCCGAAUACUGGCCGAAAGCCAGGCUGCGGCCACCAGACACCACGCGGAAAGAGGCGAAGGGCGGCCGGUCGGCGAACGCGGCGCCCUGCUGCACCAGGGCCUGGCGGAUGGCGCGCUCGCCGUUCAGCACCACCACCGGGCAGCUGCCCAGGCGGAUCUGGAAGACGUCGCCGUAGCGCCGCGCCAGGCGUGCGAACGAGACGUGAGGCGCCGGGCCCAUUGACGCCGCAUUUCCGAUCAGCGGCCAAGCGAAGGGACCCGGGGGCGCGGACCCCGGCUGCCGCCGCCGCUGCCUCAACAGCCACUGGCCCACGUGCACCGCGGCCAGUACCGAGAGCAGCAACAGGAGCAUGGUCUGCUGGGCCGACAGAGGGAUAGGCGGCAGAUGAUCGUCCGGGCUGAGGCUGGUGGCCAUGCUGGGAAGAGAAGGGCGAAGGCGUGACACUCAGGCAAGAACAUUGCAGGACUUCCCCGGUGGCACAGUGGUUAAGAAUCUGCCUGCCAACGCAGGGGCACGGGUUCAAGCCCUGGUCCGGGAAGAUCCCACAUGCUGCGGAGCAACUAAGCCCGUGCGCCACAACUGAGCCUGCGCUCUAGAGCCCGCGAGCCACAACUACUGAGCCCGCAUGCCACAACUACUGAAGCCCGCGUGCCUAGAGCCCGUGCUCUGCAACAAGAGAAGCCACAGCAAUGAGAAGCCCGCACACCGCAACGAAGAGUAGCCCCCGUUCACCGCAACUAGAGAAAGCUCGCGCGCAGCAACGAAGACCCAACACAGCCAACAAUUUUACUUACACUUCCCUACAGAGACCAUCCCAACUGGAGCAAUCCACAUAGGCGUGGAAAUCUAGACCCUUUCAUCAGGACUGUCUUUCCCAAGGGUUUCUGUCCCUGACAACUCUCUUCCCAGCUGAGAGUUACGGACAAAUCAAGGAAGAUGGGUCUGUGGUUCAUCUUACUGCUCCCCCUUCAACAAAUUCAACUUGCUUCACAAGAGUCAGCUGGGAAUGGCCCCCAAAGAAAACAACCAGUUGGAUUAUAUGAAUUCAUGACUGUCAGAGGAAUAAAGCCUUGCUCUUUCCCCUUCUCCUUCAAAAGUUUAGCAAGGACACGCUUUCCCCACAUAGCCUGCAUAGCCUCAUAACAGCUGUCCCAGAGGAUGGAUUGCACAUGGAUUACAACUAAUCGGGGUCAAGAAGAGAUUGCCUACAGUUUUGCCCAGAGCUCUUCUUGGGCUGAGAAAGUGUGUGCUCCCUCAGAUAUUUUCCUACCCCCUAUGGUACUAGUUCCUACCUUCUAUGCAUUUCUGUCAUUGAACAACUAAGAAGCUAUUAAUUUUAUUUCUUCUAAGGACUGAAGGAGCUCCUUAGUCCCUCAAAAUACAACAGAGGAAAAAUCUGUUCAGCCUAAAUUCAAGCCUAAAUUUAAAAUCCAAACAUUUGAAGUGAUCAUGAUGUCCACAUGCUACAAAAUACAACUUUCUUUUAAAAAGAAAAUCCUGGCGAUUGUACUGUUUUAUGUAGAAUGCUGUUCAGUCUAGAGCCAUUUCAAACUCUCAAAACUUUAUACGUGCAAGGAAAGCAAACUGAAAGUGAAAGUCACUCAGUUUACUCUUAUUUCUAAGAUUAGUUUCAACCUCCCUGGUUUUCAACACUCAUGCCAGUGUCCAGACUUGCAGCCACAGCAAGGGAUUUCCUCAGUCACAUAGAGAACCUGGAAUAAAUUACU